rnacentral:lncRNA from 1 species
GGGGCUUCCCCUCCAACCAGGAGGCCAAUCACAGAACGACACGUGUCGACAUCAGAAGCCAAUCAUAGCGCUACACGUGUCAACAUCGGAAGCCAAUCACAACACAACACGUGUCAAUGUCAGAACAAGGCUAGAAACUCUCUUCUAUAAAAGGAGAUCAUUCUCCCAAAAUAUUUCCUAUUGCUAUUUGUACUAAAUCAUUCACUCGUACCCACUAAAGGAGAGCUUGAACCUAUGUACUUGUGUAAACCCUUCACAAUUAAUGAGAACUCCUCUACUCCGUGGACGUAGCCAAUCUGGGUGAACCACGUAUAUCUUGUGUUUGCUCUCCUGUCUCUAUCCUUUUACAUACUUAUCCACACUAAUGAUCGGAGCAAUCUAGCAAAGGUCACAAACUUAAUACUUUAUGUUGUACCAAAGUCCUCACUGAUUUUGUGCAUCAACAAUCCUUAAGUCCUUACCUUUUUGCAUUGGUAAUGGAUGAGUUAACAUGACAUAUUCAAGAUGUUAUUCCUUGGUGUAUGCUUUUCGCAGAUGAUAUAGGGUUGAUAGAUGAAACUCAGGAAGGGGUAAAUGCGAAGCUUAACCUUUGGAGAGAAGUGUUGGAAUCUAAAGGUCUUCGCCUAAGCCGAUCAAAGACAGAAUAUAUGGAAUACAAGCGGGAUGGAUGAAGUGGAAGAGUGUAUCCGGCGUGUUGUGUGACCGUCGUAUGCCACUGAAGCUCAAGGGAAAAUUUUAUAGGACGACAAUAAAGUCGGCGAUGCUGUAUGGCACAGAAUGUUGGGCGGUGAAGCAUCAAUACGUACACAAAAUGGGUGUAGCGGAGAUAAGGAUGCUUCGUUGGAGGUGUGGGCUCACGAGAAAGGAUAAGAUUAGGAAUGAGUGAGUUGGACAUGUGCAAAGAAGGCCUACUGACGCUCCAAUUCGAAGAUGUGACUACGGGACAGAGGUUCAGGGCCGAAGGGGUAGAGGAAGACCUAGGAAAACUUUGGAAGAGACCCUAAGAAAAGACUUAGAGUACUUGGAUCUAACGGAGGACAUGUCACAAAACCGAGCGCAAUGACGUUCUAGGAUUCACAUAGCCGACCCCACUUAGUAGGAAAAGGCUUUGUUGUUGUUGUUGUUGUUGUUGUAUUCAAAAUUCAAAAUUAAAAUCAGAAUUUAUAUUAAAGGGUGAAAUGAGUAUAAAGAAAAAUCAACACAGGUCUUCUAUUGGGGGGCCAAAAAAUUGAGUGUGGUGUAAUAAUAUGAGAAUCACACUCCUAUAGUGGGCUAAAAUUAUGAAUGCAAUGAGAGUGAUUCUUAUUUUUAAGUUCAAUAUAUUGGACUCAUGAUGUAAUUCAUGGACAAUAAAUGAUCAAUUAUUUGAGGGGAGAGAGAAAGGAGAAUAACCAAUCAUAAAUUAGAGAAAAGAAAAACAAAUAAGUCCCACAAUUAAUAUAUAAAACUCGACUCUAUUAAAAUGCACACCAUUGCAAGGUUCUAAAAAAUGCUAGGCGCUAGUUGGGCGGUGGGCUAGCGCCUAGCGCCUAGGCGGCUAGGCGGCCUAGGCGAAUUUAGGUAAAUUUCUUAUGUAUUAUAUGAAUUAAUUAAAUUUACUAUAUAAAAUGUAAAUAAUUAUUGACUAAUAUGCUAUUUCUUAUAGAAGAACAUAUAUAUGAAUGUUUUAUAUACAUAUAUGAAAUGCUUGCCUAGGAAAAAAAAAAUAUUAUCUAAAUAAUUUAUAAUUUAUAUAAGAUAUAUAUAUACACACAUAAUAUAUAUCCCAAACUUUUAAAAAUAAAAAAGCCCACAUAGUGGGUGGUUUUCAUUGUUAAAACCAUCAAACCGUCCAUCACCCAUCCACCCAAGGUGGUUUUCACAUCACCUGUCCACAAAACCAUAAGAGUCCAUGGUUUUCAAUUUUAAAAUCACAAACCGUCCAUGCUCUUUCACAUCACCCAAAGUCCUCAACUUGCACACAUAUUGAAAUGUUACUCUAUCUCUCUCUCUCUCUCUCUCUCUCUCUCUCUCUCUCUCUCUCUCUCUCUUUUUCUAUCUCUUUUCACACUUUCUCUUCGCACUCUCUUCUUUGCUCUCAUCUUCGCCUUAUAAACAGACCGAUUUCGAGUCCCCAACAUCUUCGACAGCAGCAACACUUGCAUCGUCUCUUGUAAUGCUAAUUAUUGAGGCUCCAGAUGAGCCAACAGCUUUUGGCAAAUUCAUAUCUCCAGGUUGCAAGUAGAUUGCCUUUCUUUUGCCUCUGCUUCAUUGCCAUUUUCUUAGCAGAUCUUGAACAUCCUCGCUCUCAUCGUCUCCAGAUGUGGCUCGUGAUCCCCUAGCACGUCGCCUCCGUUCUGGGGAUGAUGAUUCUCUUUCACUGCUAUAACUUGGGACGUCAAUGAUGUCCCCUGCUGCGUUGCGGCAGUACUUGCGAAAUUUGCAGCGAGAUUCAAACCGCCUAGACUGCCGCCUAGCCUGCCUCAGGCGCCUAGGGAGCGCUUAGGCGGCCGCCUAUAUCCUCCCCGCCUAACUGAGCGUUUUGGUCUAAAUCGAGUCGGAGCUCCACUGCCUAGCGCCUAGGCCGAUUUUUAGAACACUGCACCAUUGUACUAGUAAUUUUAUUAAAACCAAACUCAGACUGCCUGAUUCCUUAUAUAGGAAUGAAACGCAUCUAAAUCACUGUACAAAGCCUUAGGUACACCAACCAACUAUUAAGUAUUUCAAAUAUAUGUAAACACAUGGUAUUUUUGUUAAAGAUUCACUAAGCCCGUUAAGACGUGUUGCAUAAUCUAUUCCAUUUUGUAUGGAAUAAAAAGAAAAAAUGUUUACCUUUUUCUUUCUUCUCUCCCUCAUCCAACCUCAUCCAAGAACCUUAAUUCACAAACCCUAGCUCUUUGCCGCCGGCCCUUCCUCUUGGUUGGGGUCGGUGGCAACCCUUUAGCUUUAACUUUUUUUGCAAUUUCUUCUUACCUUACUAUCUUUGCUUUCCUCUUAACUUGUUAAUUUAUGGUGAUUUUGUUCUUUGAGUUGAGUUUCACCUUCCUUUGAGAUUUGUCUCAAAUUCUCUGAGCUUGUCUCACUUUAUAGUGGUUCUCAUCUCAAAUAUGGGAUUUAAGCUUAUUUCGUCUCCAUGUUGUUCCUAGCUGCAAGUCAUUUUUUACCGACCCUGCUAGUCGAAUCAUCAAGCGUUUCCUCCAUGAAUCUCAUUUGGAGACAUGCUUUAGGUUUGGGUGACUCUUGAAGUACGUUUAGCAAUAUUUGGUAAGAUUAUGAGAGCGCUCAUGGCACGGAUGGCUUGCCCACCCCCAUUUUUCUUUUGUCUCUUAUGUUUGUUGACUCUACUUUGUUGGAAAUUUGAGUAGUUUGAGUAGAAAUUUCCUUGUCCCACAUUGGCCAUUCCCAAAAGAUUUUAUCACUUUAUAAGGUUUUGUCCUUUAAAGAAAGUGAUUGGAGUAAUAGGCAUGGAGACUAAAAUUGGGCUCACCCUUGGGGUUGGGCUUUGGGGUGUAAUAAUUAAUUGGUAAUUAAUAUAUAAUUAAUUAUAAUUAAUAUAUAAUUAAUUAUAAUUAAUAUAUAAUUAAUAUAUAUUUAAUUGUCAAAAGAUGGGCCUUGGGCCUUGGGGCUCUAAUAAUUAAAUUAUUUAAUUAAUUAUUUUUCGGAUUUACUUAAUUAUUUUUUAAUUAAAUUCGAAUUUAAUUAAUUAAUUAUUUUUUUAUGAAAAGACUCAUCCUUUCAGAUGAAGUCUGAGAGUUCUUUCUGAACACAGAGCAAAGCACCCUUCUGAAGAGAUGUCUCCCAACAGUCACACCCCAUUCUCAUACCUGUUGCAAACAGCAUCUAUCUGCUAUCAUACAUCUGCAUAGCAUUUAGAACACAGAAAUACUAAACUUCAUCUUCUACAUUCAUAAACCUUCUUACUGAGAGAACCACACUAAAUUCGCCAGAAGUUAAAUUUUCCGGUGCUGGAAUUUUAAACUUGAUCGUUGAAUCCUGGUGAAGCAGACGUCCGUAGAACUACAAGCACAGAGUAGGGACGAAAUUUCUGUUUCAAGGACAUUGCGGUACGCAAGCCUCGAUCUUCAAGUUGUCUGUUUUAUAAUUCAUAUUCUAGUUUAUAUUUUGUUAGUUUCUAUUGCAUUUAUUAUUUAUUAGCAUUAGCAUAUAAUAAAUUAUCACAGAGAUUGUUGACUUAUAUCCAACAAUCUUGAAACAGAAAAUUAUGGAUCAACAAUCUGUAAAUGUGAAUGGCGCUGUGCCAAAGUACUCAGAAAAGCCUGAGAAGUUCAAAGGUUUGGACUUCAAGAGAUGGCAGAAGAGAAGAUGUUGUUCUUCCUGACAAGAAAUGUUGUUCUCGACUGACAACAAUGAAUCUAAUGUUGUUAGAGAAAGAAGUCUCCGAGAAUCUAAUGAGAAUCCAGAGAGAGAGACUGUCAUGGCAAUUGAAGCUUGGAAUCAUUCCGAGUUUUGUUGUGCAGAAACUAUAUCCUGAAUAGUUUGGAUGACAAUCUCUACGACAUUUAUUCUCUGUGCAAGACAGCGAAGGAGUUGUGGGAAUCCCUGGAGAAAAAGUAUAAGAUUGAUGAUGACGGUUCAAAGAAAUUUGUUAUCGGUAAGUUUCUCAAAUAUACAAUGGUGGAUUCAAAAUCUGUUGUAUCUCAGGUCGAAGAAAUCCAGAAGUUGAUCUAUGAACUGCAUUCUGAGGGAUGCGAGAUCAAUGGGCAUUUCCAAGUUGGGGCGAUAAUCGAGAAAUUGCCAACUUCCUGGAAUGACUUCAAAAUUUAUCUCAAGCACAAGCGUCGUGAGAUGAAUAUAGAGGAUUUGAUUCUGAGGCUACGUGUGGAAGAAGACCACAGAAAGGCAGACCGUUCUGGAGGGUUUGCAGCCAUUGAAGCCAAUGCAAAUUAUGUUGAGGGAAGAAACUCCAAGGCUAAGCCGAAAAAGAAUAAGGCUCCUGCUCCGAAAACCAAGCAGUUUGUGCAAUCUGCCCUUGCUCCUAAAGGCAAGAAUCUGAAGAAGAUUAAGGGCGCCUGCUAUGUGUGUGGCAAAUCUGGUCACAAGGCACAAGAUUGUUAUCAUCGCAAGGAUGGAAAUCAUGGCCACGGAAACAACAACAACCAUGCUAACAUGGCAACCACCGAUGAAGAAUUGGCUGCUGUUGUGUCCGAGGUUAACAUGGUCUCAAAUGAGUGAAUGGUUGAUGGAUACUGGUGCUACAAAGCACAUCUGCGCUGACAGAAAUCUGUUCACAGAAUAUCACCCUGCUGCCCUUGGAGAAAAGCUGUAUAUGGGCAAUUCUGCCACAUCUAUUGUGGAGGGAUAUGGCAAGGUGGUACUUAAAUUCACAUCUGGGAAAAGUUUGACCUUGCUGAAUGUGCUGCAUGUUCCUGAAAUGAGGAGGAACUUGGUUUCUGGACCAAUUCUAAUUGCUAAGGGCUUUAAACUUGUAAUGGAAUCCAACAAAUUUGUACUUACCAAGGGUGGGAUGUUUGUUGGAAAGGGUUAUGUGGCUGAUGGCCUUGUGAAACUCAAUGUAAUUGCCAUUGAUGAUGCUAAUAAAAUAAAUGCUUCUACUUAUAUUGUUGAGUCUUCUAAUAUUUGGCAUGCUAGAUUAGGACAUGUUAAUUUUCGUUCCAUGCAUAGAAUGGUUAAAUUAGACUUAUUACCUAAAUUCGAAAUUGAUUUUAAUCAUAAGUGUGAAACAUGUACAGAAUCGAAAUUUGCUAAGCAAACGAGAAAGUCAAUUCUGGAAAGAUCAAAUGAAUUACUUGGAUUAAUUCAUAGUGAUCUUUGUGACUUUAAAUCCACACCAACUCGUGGAGGAAAGAAUUAUUAUGUCACUUUUAUUGAUGAUUGCAGUAAGUAUUGCUAUGUUUAUUUGAUUCAUAGCAAGGACGAAGCUUUGAAUAUGUUUAAGACAUAUAAAGCCGAAGUUGAAAAUCAACUUGAGAGAAAAAUCAAAGCACUUAGAUCUGAUAGAGGAGGAGAGUAUGAGUCUACUGCCUUCUCCGAUUUUUGUGCACAACAUGGAAUUAUACAUCAAACAACGGCUCCAUACACACCACAACAAAAUGGUGUUGCCGAAAGAAAAAAUAGAACAUUCAAAGAUAUGAUUAAUUCCAUGUUAAAUAGUUCUGGGCUUCCACACAGUUUGUGGGGUGAAGCUUUACUUACUGCAAAUACCAUAUUGAAUAAGGUUCCUCUAAAAAAGAUUGACGAGUCACCUUAUGAGAUAUGGAAAGGACAUAAACCCACUUAUAAAACCCUCAAAGUGUGGGGUUGCUUAGCAAAGGUGCAAGUUCCGUUACAAAAAAGAACGAAACUAGGACCUAAAACUAUUGAUUGCGUAUUCAUUGGAUAUGCAAAUAUAUGUAGUGCUGCUUAUAGGUUCCUUGUUGUGAAAUCUUCGAUUUCUGACAUACAUGUUAACACUAUAUUAGAAUCAGCGGAUGCAGCAGAAUUCUUUGAGGAUAUAUUCCCUUACAAAGAAAAGGAAUCUGGUUCUAAUACAAAGAGAGUUCAUGAUCAUAGUCAUGAUGAAGCCUCUUCUUCUGGUGUCCAAGGAAAUGAUGUGGAACCAAGAAGAGGAAAAAGAAUCAAAGUUUCUAAAAACUUUGGACCAGAUUUCAUUUCUUUCUUGUCCGAGAAUGAACCUAGAACUUUUAAAGAAGCAAGCAAUGUCUUCUUCUGAGGCUCCUUUAUGGAAGGAAGCAAUUAAAAGUGAAAUGGAAUCCAUUAUGGAAAAUAACACAUGGGAAUUGGUUGAUUUACCUCCCGGUAGUAAACCAAUUGGUCAUAAAUGGAUUUUCAAGAAGAAACUCAAGGCGGAUGGAACCAUUGACAAGUUCAAGGCACGUUUAGUAGCCAAAGGUUAUCGCCAAAAAGAAGGGUUGGAUUAUUUCGACACCUAUUCUCCAGUUUCUCGCAUAACGUCAAUUAGGACGUUAAUAGCGAUUGCGGCUGUAUACAACUUUGAUAUCCAUCAAAUGGAUGUAAAAACAACAUUUUUAAAUGGAGAACUAGAUGAAGAAAUAUACAUGGAACAACCUGAAGGGUUUGUGCUUAAAGGACAAGAAAGCAAAGUGUGCAAAUUAGUUAAGUCAUUAUAUGGACUUAAACAAGCACCAAAACAAUGGCACGAGAAGUUUGAUCAUACUUUGUUGACACAUGGGGUCAAAAUAAAUGAAUCUGAUAAAUGUGUCUACAUUAAGGGUAAUGAUAAAACUUGUGUUAUUGUCUGCUUGUAUGUGGAUGAUAUGCUCAUAAUGGGAAGCAAUAAAGAUGUAAUAAACAAAACAAAGAAAAUGUUGAAUUUCAAGUUUUUGACAUGAAAGACAUAGGUCAAGCCGAUGUCAUUUUAGGAAUUCAAAUUAAGAGAAAUAGAGAAUGAAGGAUAUGUCCUUACACAAUCCCAUUAUGCAGAAAAAAUAUUACGAAGGUUUGGUCAAUUUGACUGCAAACCUGCUGCGACUCCUUUUGAUGCUGGAUGCAAGUUGGAGAAAAAUAAAGGCGAUGCCAAAUCUCAACUUGAAUAUUCUCAAGUAAUUGGAAGUCUAAUGUACUUGAUGAAUUCAACUAGGCCCGACUUAGCUUAUGCAGUAAGUAGGCUUAGUAGAUAUACAAGUAAUCCGGCACAAGAGCAUUGGGAUGCUUUAGUAAGAGUGUUAAGGUAUUUGAAAAAUACACUUGACUACGGAUUACACUACACCAAAUAUCCACCUGUUGUAGAAGGCUUCAGUGAUGCCAAUUGGAUUUCUGACACUACAGAAUCCAAGUCGACAAGUGGAUAUGUUUUUACCUUGGGAGGUGCAGCAAUAUCUUGGAAAUCCUCUAAACAGAAAUGUAUAGCUCGGUCCACCAUGGAGUCUGAGUUUAUAGCUUUAGACUUGGCUGGCGAAGAAGCCGAGUGGCUCAAACAUUUUCUGGAGGAUAUUCCAAUGUGGCCAAAGCCGGUAACGGCUAUAUGUAUACAUUGUGAUAGUAUGGCCGCCCAAUCAAGGGCCAAAAGUCAUGUAUACAAUGGGAAGUCACGUCACAUCAGACGUCGACACAAUACUCUUAAGAAGAUGCUCUCCAAUGGAAUAAUAUCCAUUGAUUAUGUGAAGUCAAAGGAAAAUAUAGCUGAUCCUUUGACAAAAGGCCUACCAAGAGAGCAAAUAUUAUUUACAUCGAGGGGAAUGGGUCUUAAGCCAAUUCAAUGAAUCGAACUGGGCGGAAACCUAACCUAGCUGAUUGGAGAUCCCAUGGUCUAGGUUCAAUAGGCAAACUGGUUGAGUUUGAUUCAAAAGUUGAACACACAACUUACCCAUUCUUAUGAUAAAAUGUGUGUUGUCUGUUGACGUUUGAGGGGUUAUGUUUUAUACAUUUAAAUGACAUUAAUAUCUUGUUAUCAAGAGGAAUAUGGCAGACUAUUCUUAAUUAAUGUCACCUAUAUAGGAGUAAAUGGGGGCCACAUUUAUGAGAAUUGACAUGGCUAAAUUCUCUAAAGCUCCUAUGAAAUCCGGGAUCUGUUCAGGGCCAAAAUGAACACAACCGUAUGAAUUGACGUGUGGCAGCCAUGAUAUGUGUGUAGCAUAUUGUCUUGGUUUACUACUGCGGUGAACAGUUCAAGAUCUUCCACAUCCACUGCGUCACCAAGUAAACCCGAUAUGUUUUCACUAGGGUAAGUUCAAGUCCAAAAGACACUUCACCCGAUGCAUAUCAUGACUAUUCUCUCUCAGUUUUAGGCAGCCUAGUCACACAUUUGCAUUUACAUUUGCAUUCAAAUGUGGGGUCAUUGUUGGAGUUUGAAUGAAAUUUCAACUCAAAUGUGGGGUAUUGUUGGAAAUUUGAGUUUGAGUAGAAAUUUCCUUGUCCCACAUUGGCCAUUCCCAAAAGAUUUUAUCACUUUAUAAGGUUUUGUCCUUUAAAGAAAGUGAUUGGAGUAAUAGGCCUGGAGACUAAAAUUGGGCUCACCCUUGGGGUUGGGCUUUGGGGUGUAAUAAUUAAUUGGUAAUUAAUAUAUAAUUAAUUAUAAUUAAUAUAUAAUUAAUAUAUAUUUAAUUGUCAAAAGAUGGGCCUUGGGGCUCUAAUAAUUAAAUUAUUUAAUUAAUUAUUUUUCGGAUUUACUUAAUUAUUUUUUAAUUAAAUUCGAAUUUAAUUAAUUAAUUAUUUUUUUAUGAAAAGACUCAUCCUUUCAGAUGAAGUCUGAGAGUUCUUUCUGAACACAGAGCAAAGCACCCUUCUGAAGAGAUGUCUCCCAACAGUCACACCCCAUUCUCAUACCUGUUGCAAACAGGCAUCUAUCUGCUAUAUAUACAUACAUCUGCAUAGCAUUUAGAACACAGAAAUAAUAAACUUCAUCUUCUACAUUCAUAAACCUUCUUACUGAGAGAACCACACUAAAUUCGCCAGAAGUUAAAUUUUCCGGUGCUGGAAUUUUAACUUGAUCGUUGAAUCCUGGUGAAGCAGACGUCCGUAGAACUACAAGCACAGAGUAGGGACGAAAUUUCUGUUUCAAGGACAUUGCGGUACGCAAGCUUCGAUCUUCAAGUUGUCUGUUUUAUAAUUCAUAUUCUAGUUUAUAUUUUGUUAGUUUCUAUUGCAUUUAUUAUUUAUUAGCAUAUAUAAAUUAUCACAGAUUGUUGACUUAUAUCCAACAUACUUCACAGUGGCAGUGGCUUCACGAUGGUGGUGUGGCUAUUUGGGUGGAGGUGGCUGCUUUACCUACCCAAGAUCUAGGGUUCUAUUUUAGUGCUGUUAUGGAACCUCUUAUUGGGCUCGUUUUCUUGUAUUUUCUUUGUUUUAAGUUGUACUCUUACUUGGUUGUUUUGAAUUAUUUUUCAACUUUCCUAACCUUGGAUUAGUAUUUUAUUUAAUCAAAUUAGCUAUGUUUGACAAAAUAAAAAUAAAAAUAAAAUGUUUAGCGAAUCGUAUCGCCAUAGCAACCAAUAGAAAGAGCUCAAAUGCUUUAGAGAUUUGCAGCCGCACGAAGACUUUGUUUGGUUC